rnacentral:rRNA from 1 species
AGAGUUUGAUCCUGGCUCAGAUUGAACGCUGGCGGUAUGCUUAACACAUGCAAGUCGAACGGAAACGAAACUAGCUUGCUAGUAGGCGUCGAGUGGCGGACGGGUGAGUAACGCGUAGGAAUCUGCCUGAUAGUGGGGGAUAGCCCGAAGAAAUUCGGAUUAAUACCGCAUAAUCUAUUCGUAGUAAAGUGGGGGACUUUCGAGCCUCACGCUAUCAGAUGAGCCUGCGUAAGAUUAGCUUGUUGGUAGGGUAAAAGCCUACCAAGGCAACGAUCUUUAGCUGGUCUGAGAGGAUGAUCAGCCACAUCGGGACUGAGACACGGCCCGAACUCCUACGGGAGGCAGCAGUGGGGAAUAUUGGACAAUGGGGGUAACCCUGAUCCAGCAAUACCGCGUGUGUGAAGAAGGCCUGAGGGUUGUAAAGCACUUUCAAUUGUGAAGAAAAGUUAACGGUUAAUAACCGUUGACCUUGACGUUAACUUUAGAAGAAGCACCGGCUAACUCCGUGCCAGCAGCCGCGGUAAUACGGAGGGUGCAAGCGUUAAUCGGAAUUACUGGGCGUAAAGCGUGCGUAGGCGGUUUAUUAAGUCAGAUGUGAAAGCCCCGGGCUUAACCUGGGAACUGCAUUUGAAACUGGUCAACUAGAGUAUGGUAGAGGAAAGUGGAAUUUCUGGUGUAGCGGUGAAAUGCGUAGAUAUCAGAAGGAACAUCAAUGGCGAAGGCAGCUUUCUGGACCAAUACUGACGCUGAGGUACGAAAGCGUGGGUAGCAAACAGGAUUAGAUACCCUGGUAGUACACGCCGUAAACGAUGAUAACUAGCCGUUGGGGGGAUUUACCCUUUAGUGGCGAAGCUAACGCGUUAAGUUAUCCGCCUGGGGAGUACGGCCGCAAGGCUAAAACUCAAAGGAAUUGACGGGGACCCGCACAAGCGGUGGAGCAUGUGGUUUAAUUCGAUGCAACGCGAAGAACCUUACCUGGGCUUGACAUCCCCGGACCGCCCUAGAGACAGGGUUUCCCCUUCGGGGGCCGGGUGACAGGUGCUGCAUGGCUGUCGUCAGCUCGUGUCGUGAGAUGUUGGGUUAAGUCCCGCAACGAGCGCAACCCCCGCCCUCAGUUGCCAGCGGUUUGGCCGGGCACUCUGGGGGGACUGCCGGUGACAAGCCGGAGGAAGGCGGGGACGACGUCAAGUCAUCAUGGCCCUUAUGCCCAGGGCUACACACGUGUUACAAUGGGGGCGACAGUGGGCCGCGAAGCCGCGAGGUGGAGCGAAUCCCCAAAAGCCCCCCCAGUUCGGAUCGCAGUCUGCAACUCGACUGCGUGAAGCCGGAAUCGCUAGUAAUCGCGGAUCAGCACGCCGCGGUGAAUCCGUUCCCGGGCCUUGUACACACCGCCCGUCACACCAUGGGAGUCGGCGGGGGCGGAAGCCGCCGGGCCAACCUCUUCGGAGGGGGCAGGCGUCCAAGCUCACGUCGGCGACUGGGGUGAAGUCGUAACAAGGUAACC